GCAGCAAUGCCCUAGAGCGGCGCACGGGUGAGUAACGCGUAUGCAACCUACCUUUUACAGGGGGAUAGCCCAGAGAAAUUUGGAUUAAUACCCCAUAGUACUAUUGAGCUGCAUGGUUUAAUAGUUAAAGAUUUAUCGGUAAAAGAUGGGCAUGCGUGACAUUAGGUAGUUGGUGAGGUAACGGCUCACCAAGCCGACGAUGUCUAGGGGUUCUGAGAGGAUGAUCCCCCACACUGGUACUGAGACACGGACCAGACUCCUACGGGAGGCAGCAGUGAGGAAUAUUGGUCAAUGGGCGAGAGCCUGAACCAGCCAUCCCGCGUGAAGGAUGAAUGUCCUAUGGAUUGUAAACUUCUUUUCUGCACCAAGAAAAUGUCGUACGUGUACGAUUUUGACGGUAGUGCAGGAAUAAGCAUCGGCUAACUCCGUGCCAGCAGCCGCGGUAAUACGGAGGAUGCGAGCGUUAUCCGGAUUCAUUGGGUUUAAAGGGUGCGUAGGCGGCUUUUUAAGUCAGUGGUGAAAUCCUGCAGCUUAACUGUAGAAUUGCCAUUGAUACUGAAGAGCUUGAAUAUAGUUGAGGUAGGCGGAAUGUGCAGUGUAGCGGUGAAAUGCUUAGAUAUUGCACAGAACACCGAUUGCGAAGGCAGCUUACUAAAUUAUUAUUGACGCUGAGGCACGAAAGCGUGGGGAUCGAACAGGAUUAGAUACCCUGGUAGUCCACGCCGUAAACUAUGUUCACUCGCUGUUUGCGAUAUACCGUAAGCGGCCAAGCGAAAGCAUUAAGUGAACCACCUGGGGAG
rnacentral:rRNA from 1 species